UUUCAUAAUUCUUUUGAUCGCAGUGCCGGAGUUUUGCUUUACCAUGUGCAAGUCCCAAACAGUUCUUUCAAUGUUGAUUACCUUUCUGGCAUUCAACAAAAUAAGCGCUCAGGAUAAAAAGGAAUUCAAUUACUACAUUAUGACAUACGUUAACUGGGAAACUGCUAAACAAAUUUGCAGCAUCCAAGGUGGAUUGCUAGCUGAUUUAGAAACUGUGGAAGAAUUAAAUUUGGCUUGGAGUGGAGCACCUAUUUUAUGGUAUUAUUGGACAUCUGGAAGCGACGGAGAGCCUGGAAAUUUUACUUGGGCAAAUGGACAGUUGGUGAAUUCUACACUUUGGGCUGAUGGUGAACCUAACAGUUUUGGCACAGGUGUAAAAGCAUGUGUUUACAUGUACAACGGGCAACUCUAUGAUGCGCCUUGCACAUUUGGUUAUAACGUAGUUUGUCAGAUGAUUUUGUAAUAAUUUAAAUUAAUAAAUCCCACACUUUGCCUUA